AUUCCCCUAAAUCAGUUGAAAUCCUAUAUUUAUUUAGUUCCUUUAAAUAAAUACCAGUACCAUAGAGGUCUGGGGCCAUAUGCAUAAAG